rnacentral:piRNA from 1 species
CUGUGUGUCUUAUGAGUUUUGCUGAAGU